UUCCCAGACUGAUGGUCCGCUCAGCGUUUCGCACAACCAUGUUGUCAGAGAAAACACAUGUUCUUGGCUAAAUACUCUUUUUUUCAGAUCUUCUAACAUCUUGGACACCCCAUGUCGCGUGAACAAACCACUCACGUGAUGACCUCAUUCCUCGCAGGUGCCUUGGCAAAAGCCGUGGGACGCACCACUGGCACGGGACGGGGCCGGAAAGGACCAUAUUCACAGGUGUCCCCGAACAUGAUGUCAUGCGACAAAAAUGCCAGGAAACAUGAUCUCACUUUGUUUUCACCGGAUGUGACAUCAUUUUGUUUUUAACGGAUGUGGCAUCAUUGGGGAGAGGUGGGCCGGGAGGUGACGUCAUUGCGCACGUGCGCUGGCACACUGGCAGGUGGCGACGUCAUAGGCCAGCCCUCAUUUUGACAAAAGCGCACUCUCUAUUAUUGUGAUCAUUAUAUUUUUAAAAAGCACAGUAUUUCAAAUUAUUUUUUUGGUUAAUUGUUUGGAGUACCUAAUGUAGAUGACGAUUGGCAUUCUAAGGAGUCUUAAAUGGUGUCAACAAAACUGGCAAUAUAUAGAUAAGAAUGUCAUUGCAGAGCUGAAAUUUAGGAAUAGUUUUGACCUCAUAUGCACCAUAGAAAAUGAAAUAUACAUUCUUAAAGGUUAUUACUGUUCUCAUCAACUCUUGCAAACUUCUCACUCAAUGUAAGACGACAUGUAGCAGAUGUCUUUUUGUAGACAGUGUAGCAUUGCUUGUGUUUUUCUGUAUUUUGGGUUGAAAACUAAUGUUUAAAGCCUGACUACAACCAGCUUUGAAAGAAUAGGUAUAGUUUUCUUAUAUUGGUUUGAUGUUGAAUACCUGACAAUUCAGCAGAGACUGAAUAAGGUUUUGCUGCUUCUUUUGCCUUUGAGCUUCAAAAUGUGUAAUGCGUAAAUGCGUAAACUCCAAAUACUUGGUUGUAGUGGACUACAAUGUAUCCCACUGGAUUAGGGUUAGGGUUAAGGGCUGCGCAUCAUUGCAGCCUCACCCAGCAUCUUCCCUUGUUGUGUCUCGCCAGUUUCAUCCACGCUGUUGUGUUCGUAAUAACUUUUUUUGUUUAAGUGAUAAUUUUUUUGAUUAGUUAAGCAAGCCCUUACAAUGCCGCCGAAGCGCUGUGCCCCUGCAAAAUGUUUUUCUCCAAGGUAAAAACCCCAGCUACACCGUCAGCGCCUCCAGCAGAAGAGUCUUCGAGUCAAGUGAGAGCCUCUCCUCCGCCACCAACACAAGCCUCUUCG